rnacentral:rRNA from 1 species
CCUACGGGGGGCUGCAGUGAGGAAUAUUGGUCAAUGGACGAGAGUCUGAACCAGCCAAGUAGCGUGAAGGAUGACUGCCCUAUGGGUUGUAAACUUCUUUUAUAUGGGAAUAAAAUGUUCCACGUGUGGGUUUUUGUAUGUACCAUAUGAAAAAGGAUCGGCUAACUCCGUGCCAGCAGCCGCGGUAAUACGGAGGAUCCGAGCGUUAUCCGGAUUUAUUGGGUUUAAAGGGAGCGUAGGUGGAUUGUUAAGUCAGUUGUGAAAGUUUGACGCUCAACCGUAAAAUUGCAGUUGAAACUGGCAGUCUUGAGUAUAGUAGAGGUGGGCGGAAUGCGUGGUGUAGCGGUGAAAUGCUUAGAUAUCACGAAGAACUCCGAUUGCGAAGGCAGCUCACUAGACUGCAACUGACACUGAGGCUCGAAAGUGUGGGUAUCAAACAGGAUUAGAUACCCUUGUAGUC